GUGUUGUAUGAAAGUAGAGAAGGUUAGCACUCCCCUUGACAAGGAUGGAAGAGGCUCUCGGGCCUGACAACACACAUACGGUUAAGGCAUUGCCACCUACUUCGUGGCAUCUAACCACUGUUUUUG
rnacentral:ncRNA from 1 species